AGAGUUUGAUCCUGGCUCAGAGUGAACGCUGGCGGCAGGCCUAAUACAUGCAAGUCGAACGGCAGCACAGCAGAGCUUGCUCUGUGGGUGGCGAGUGGCGGACGGGUGAGGAAUACAUGGGAAUCUGUCCAGUCGUGGGGAUAACGUAGGGAAACUUACGCUAAUACCGCAUGCGCCCUUCGGGGGAAAGCCGGGGACCUUCGGGCCUGGCGCGAUUGGAUGAGCCCAUGUCGGAUUAGCUAGUUGGCGGGGUAAUGGCCCACCAAGGCGACGAUCCGUAGCUGGUCUGAGAGGAUGAUCGGCCACACUGGAACUGAGACACGGUCCAGACUCCUACGGGAGGCAGCAGUAGGGAAUAUUGGACAAUGGGCGCAAGCCUGAUCCAGCCAUGCCGCGUGAGUGAAGAAGGCCCUCGGGUUGUAAAGCUCUUUUGUCCGGAAAGAAAAGCGCCGGGUUAAUACCCUAGUGUCCUGACGGUACCGGAAGAAUAAGCACCGGCUAACUUCGUG
rnacentral:rRNA from 1 species